GACGAACCCUGGCGGCGUGCUUAACACAUGCAAGUCGAACGAAGUGGCGAACGGGUGAGUAACGCGUAAUCAACCUGCCCUUCCGCGGGGUACAACAGUUGGAAACGACUGCUAAUACCGCAUACUGAAGGAGGGGAUUGCGUCUGAUUAGCUAGUGGGAGGGGUAACGGCACCCCAAGGCGAUGAUCAGUAGCCGGUUUGAGAGGAGGGAAGGCCACAGUGGGACUGAGACACGGCCGAGACGCGUACGGGAAGCAGCAGUGGGGAAUCUGACGGGAAGGAAGAAAGGCUGACGGAGCAAGGCCGCGUGAGGGAUGACGGACUUCGAGUUGUAAGGCUCUGAUAAUCGGGACGCGGUACCGGAAUAGAAAGCCACGGCUAACUACGUGCCAGCAGCCGCGGUAAUAC
rnacentral:rRNA from 1 species